CUGUGAGCUCGAUGAGUAGGGCGGGACACGUGGUAUCCUGUCUGAAUAUGGGGGGACCAUCCUCCAAGGCUAAAUACUCCUGACUGACCGAUAGUGAACCAGUACCGUGAGGGAAAGGCGAAAAGAACCCCGGCGAGGGGAGUGAAAAAGAACCUGAAACCGUGUACGUACAAGCAGUGGGAGCACAGAGCAAUCUGUGUGACUGCGUACCUUUUGUAUAAUGGGUCAGCGACUUAUAUUCUGUAGCAAGGUUAACCGAAUAGGGGAGCCGAAGGGAAACCGAGUCUUAACUGGGCGUUAAGUUGCAGGGUAUAGACCCGAAACCCGGUGAUCUAGCCAUGGGCAGGUUGAAGGUUGGGUAACACUAACUGGAGGACCGAACCGACUAAUGUUGAAAAAUUAGCGGAUGACUUGUGGCUGGGGGUGAAAGGCCAAUCAAACCGGGAGAUAGCUGGUUCUCCCCGAAAGCUAUUUAGGUAGCGCCUCGUGAAUUCAUCUCCGGGGGUAGAGCACUGUUUCGGCAAGGGGGUCAUCCCGACUUACCAACCCGAUGCAAACUGCGAAUACCGGAGAAUGUUAUCACGGGAGACACACGGCGGGUGCUAACGUCCGUCGUGAAGAGGGAAACAACCCAGACCGCCAGCUAAGGUCCCAAAGUCAUGGUUAAGUGGGAAACGAUGUGGGAAGGCCCAGACAGCCAGGAUGUUGGCUUAGAAGCAGCCAUCAUUUAAAGAAAGCGUAAUAGCUCACUGGUCGAGUCGGCCUGCGCGGAAGAUGUAACGGGGCUAAACCAUGCACCGAAGCUGCGGCAGCGACGCUUAUGCGUUGUUGGGUAGGGGAGCGUUCUGUAAGCCUGCGAAGGUGUGCUGUGAGGCAUGCUGGAGGUAUCAGAAGUGCGAAUGCUGACAUAAGUAACGAUAAAGCGGGUGAAAAGCCCGCUCGCCGGAAGACCAAGGGUUCCUGUCCAACGUUAAUCGGGGCAGGGUGAGUCGACCCCUAAGGCGAGGCCGAAAGGCGUAGUCGAUGGGAAACAGGUUAAUAUUCCUGUACUUGGUGUUACUGCGAAGGGGGGACGGAGAAGGCUAUGUUGGCCGGGCGACGGUUGUCCCGGUUUAAGCGUGUAGGCUGGUUUUCCAGGCAAAUCCGGAAAAUCAAGGCUGAGGCGUGAUGACGAGGCACUACGGUGCUGAAGCAACAAAUGCCCUGCUUCCAGGAAAAGCCUCUAAGCAUCAGGUAACAUCAAAUCGUACCCCAAACCGACACAGGUGGUCAGGUAGAGAAUACCAAGGCGCUUGAGAGAACUCGGGUGAAGGAACUAGGCAAAAUGGUGCCGUAACUUCGGGAGAAGGCACGCUGAUAUGUAGGUGAAGUCCCUCGCGGAUGGAGCUGAAAUCAGUCGAAGAUACCAGCUGGCUGCAACUGUUUAUUAAAAACACAGCACUGUGCAAACACGAAAGUGGACGUAUACGGUGUGACGCCUGCCCGGUGCCGGAAGGUUAAUUGAUGGGGUCAGCGCAAGCGAAGCUCUUGAUCGAAGCCCCGGUAAACGGCGGCCGUAACUAUAACGGUCCUAAGGUAGCGAAAUUCCUUGUCGGGUAAGUUCCGACCUGCACGAAUGGCGUAAUGAUGGCCAGGCUGUCUCCACCCGAGACUCAGUGAAAUUGAACUCGCUGUGAAGAUGCAGUGUACCCGCGGCAAGACGGAAAGACCCCGUGAACCUUUACUAUAGCUUGACACUGAACAUUGAGCCUUGAUGUGUAGGAUAGGUGGGAGGCUUNGAAGUGUGGACGCCAGUCUGCAUGGAGCCGACCUUGAAAUACCACCCUUUAAUGUUUGAUGUUCUAACGUUGACCCGUAAUCCGGGUUGCGGACAGUGUCUGGUGGGUAGUUUGACUGGGGCGGUCUCCUCCUAAAGAGUAACGGAGGAGCACGAAGGUUGGCUAAUCCUGGUCGGACAUCAGGAGGUUAGUGCAAUGGCAUAAGCCAGCUUGACUGCGAGCGUGACGGCGCGAGCAGGUGCGAAAGCAGGUCAUAGUGAUCCGGUGGUUCUGAAUGGAAGGGCCAUCGCUCAACGGAUAAAAGGUACUCCGGGGAUAACAGGCUGAUACCGCCCAAGAGUUCAUAUCGACGGCGGUGUUUGGCACCUCGAUGUCGGCUCAUCACAUCCUGGGGCUGAAGUAGGUCCCAAGGGUAUGGCUGUUCGCCAUUUAAAGUGGUACGCGAGCUGGGUUUAGAACGUCGUGAGACAGUUCGGUCCCUAUCUGCCGUGGGCGCUGGAGAACUGAGGGGGGCUGCUCCUAGUACGAGAGGACCGGAGUGGACGCAUCACUGGUGUUCGGGUUGUCAUGCCAAUGGCACUGCCCGGUAGCUAAAUGCGGAAGAGAUAAGUGCUGAAAGCAUCUAAGCACGAAACUUGCCCCGAGAUGAGUUCUCCCUGACUCCUUGAGAGUCCUGAAGGAACGUUGAAGACGACGACGUUGAUAGGCCGGGUGUGUAAGCGCAGCGAUGCGUUGAGCUAACCGGUACUAAUGAACCGUGAGGCUUAACCUU
rnacentral:rRNA from 1 species